GGCAAUGUAGCUCAGCUGGAUAGAGCACCCCUUUGCCGAAGGGGGUUGUCGGGGGUUCGAAUCCCCCCAUUGUUU
rnacentral:tRNA from 1 species